rnacentral:piRNA from 1 species
CCAUCAACAAUGGAAAGGAGUACACAGGA